rnacentral:rRNA from 1 species
GUGCCAGCAGCCGCGGUAAUACAGAGGGUGCGAGCGUUAAUCGGCCAGCAGCCGCGGUAAGCGUGCGUAGGCGGCUUYUUAAGUCGGAUGUGAAAUCCCUGAGCUUAACUUAGGAAUUGCAUUCGAUACUGGGAAGCUAGAGUAUGGGAGAGGAUGGUAGAAUUCCAGGUGUAGCGGUGAAAUGCGUAGAGAUCUGGAGGAAUACCGAUGGCGAAGGCAGCCAUCUGGCCUAAUACUGACGCUGAGGUACGAAAGCAUGGGGAGCAAACAGGAUUAGAUACCCUGGUAGUCC